GACGAACGCUGGCGGCGUGCCUAAUACAUGCAAGUCGUGCGGACCUUUUAAAAGCUUGCUUUUAAAAGGUUAGCGGCGGACGGGUGAGUAACACGUGGGCAACCUGCCUGUAAGACUGGGAUAACGCCGGGAAACCGGGGCUAAUACCGGAUCGUUUUUCCUCCGCAUGGAGGAAAAAGGAAAUGCGGCUUCGGCUGCCACUUACAGAUGGGCCCGCGGCGCAUUAGCUAGUUGGCGGGGUAACGGACCACCAAGGCAACGAUGCGUAGCCGACCUGAGAGGGUGAUCGGCCAAAUUGGGACUGGGACACGGCACAAAAGCCUUAGGGGGGGAGCAGGAGGGAAUCUUCCGCCAUGGACGAAAGUCUGACGGAGCAACGCCGCGGGAGUGAAGAAGGCCUUCGGGUCGUAAAACUCUGUUGCCGGGGAAGAAAAAGCGCCGUUCGAACAGGGCGGCGCCUUGACGGUACCCGGACAGAAAGCCACGGCUAACUACGUG
rnacentral:rRNA from 1 species